AGUAUCUGUCCCGCUGGUGGUUCACCGGGGUCGAAAGAUCCGGGUGACGAGAGAGGGAACCCGGUGAGAGUCCGGGACUGCCCCGCAGCGGUGAGUGGGAACGAAGGUCGUCACAGGCACUGGGAACCCCCGAAGGUCCCGGGAAGCGACGGCGUAGUAGGACGCCCACGAGUCCGAAAACCUGCCAUCGGCACGCACCCCCA
rnacentral:ncRNA from 2 species